AUGGCGCGCACGGCCAAGGACUUGAAAGUUUGGAGCUCCUCCUUCUUUAGUGAUGCCAAGCUCCAAUUCCACAUAGCUAGCAAGAUCAUCCUACGCUUAGACAUAGCUCAAGAAUCCCGCAACCUCUCCACGCCGGAAUUUAAUCUCCGACGGCUCCUCAAACAAAGGCUGCUCGGCCUCGCGGCGAUUGAGCGCGCGCGAAAGCGCCAAGCUUCCAGGCUGACCUGGAUCAAACUGGGAGACGCGGGAACCAAGUACUUCCAUGCAAAUAUUCGAGCGCGACGCAGAAAGAACUUCAUCCAUAGCCUGAGGACUGGCAACGGCAUUGUCACAUCGCAUGAGGACAAGGAGACAAUCAUUUUCGAGCAUUUCAACUCCAUCCUCGGCUCCAAGGGGGACUGCCAUAGGGCCAUCAACUGGAGCCAACUGCAGCUGCCCUCUGUUCGAGGUGGCGGCCUCGACAACCCCUUCUCCGAAGAAGAAGUAUGGGAGGCGAUCAAGGCCUCUCCUACAGAAAAAGCUCCGGGCCCGGAUGGAUUCAUCGGCACUUUCUUCCGUAGCGACUGGCAAACAAUCAAGCACGGCAUCAUGGGAGCCUUCCACCAAUUCUACUCCAUUGCCGGCGGCGGCCUAGACGCCCUCAACUCUGCAAUGGUAGUGUUGAUCCCGAAAAAGGAUGGGGCAGAAUCAGUCUCUGAUUUCAGGCCAAUUAGCUUAAUCCACUCCAUCGCAAAACUAUUUACCAAAGUCCUCUCCUUGCGGUUGUCAAAAGUCAUCAGCACCAUCAUCUCGCCGGCACAAUCUGCCUUCCUAGCAAAGAAGAGCACACACGACAGCUAUCUCUACAUCCAAAAUGCAGUUAGAAGCCUGCACCGCCUACAAGCCCUAGGCCUUCGACAAUGUUUCGUGGGAAUACCUACUGCAACUCCGACAAUCCCUAGUCCUUCGACAUGA
rnacentral:rRNA from 1 species